CAGUAGGGAGGAAGGUAGUGCAGUUAACACCUGCAUUAUUUGACGUUACCUACAGAAGAAGCACCGGCUAACUCCGUGCCAGCAGCCGCGGUAAUACGGAGGGGUGCGAGCGUUAAUCGGAAUUACUGGGCGUAAAGACGCAUGCAGGCGGCCUCGUUAAGUCAGAUGUGAAAGACCCGGGGCGUUAACCUCGGAAUUGCAUUUGAAACUGGCAGGCUAGAGUCUUGUAGAGGGGGGUAGGAAGUUUCAGGUGUAGCGGUGAAAUAGCGUAGAGAUCUGAAGGAAUACCAGUGGCGAAGGCGGCCCCCUCGGACAAAGACUGACGCUCAGAUGCGAAAGCGUGGGGAGCAAACAGGAUUAGAUACCCUGGUAG
rnacentral:rRNA from 1 species